rnacentral:rRNA from 1 species
CCUACGGGAGGCAGCAGUGGGGAAUCUUGCGCAAUGGCCUCAGGGCUGACGCAGCGACGCCGCGUGCGGGAGGACGCUCUUCGGGGUGUAAACCGCUGUCAGGGGGGACGAAACCCCGGGGGAGGAAAUGCCCUCGGGUUGACGGUACCUCCAGAGGAAGCACCGGCUAACUCCGUGCCAGCAGCCGCGGUAAUACGGAGGGUGCGAGCGUUGUUCGGAAUUAUUGGGCGUAAAGCGCGCGUAGGCGGCUUCUUAAGUCUCACUGUGAAAGCCCGGGGCUCAACCCCGGGAGGCCAGGGGAUACUGGGGAGCUGGAGACAGGUAGAGGCAGACGGAAUUCCGGGUGUAGCGGUGGAAUGCGUAGAGAUCCGGAAGAACACCAGAGGCGAAGGCGGUCUGCUGGACCUGGUCUGACGCUGAGGCGCGAAAGCGUGGGGAGC